UCCCAGGUGGCUCAGUGGUAAAGACUCUGCCUGCAAUGCAGGAGCUGCAAGAGACCCGGGUUCGAUCCCUGGAUUGGGAA
rnacentral:tRNA from 1 species